rnacentral:rRNA from 1 species
GUCUGGGGAUCUGCCCGAUAGAGGGGGAUAACCACUGGAAACGGUGGCUAAUACCGCAUAACGUCGCAAGACCAAAGAGGGGGACCUUCGGGCCUCUCACUAUCGGAUGAACCCAGAUGGGAUUAGCUAGUAGGCGGGGUAACGGCCCACCUAGGCGACGAUCCCUAGCUGGUCUGAGAGGAUGACCAGCCACACUGGAACUGAGACACGGUCCAGACUCCUACGGGAGGCAGCAGUGGGGAAUAUUGCACAAUGGGCGCAAGCCUGAUGCAGCCAUGCCGCGUGUAUGAAGAAGGCCUUCGGGUUGUAAAGUACUUUCAGCGGGGAGGAAGGCAGUGAGGUUAAUAACCUUACUGAUUGACGUUACCCGCAGAAGAAGCACCGGCUAACUCCGUGCCAGCAGCCGCGGUAAUACGGAGGGUGCAAGCGUUAAUCGGAAUUACUGGGCGUAAAGCGCACGCAGGCGGUCUGUUAAGUCAGAUGUGAAAUCCCCGGGCUUAACCUGGGAACUGCAUUUGAAACUGGCAGGCUUGAGUCUCGUAGAGGGGGGUAGAAUUCCAGGUGUAGCGGUGAAAUGCGUAGAGAUCUGGAGGAAUACCGGUGGCGAAGGCGGCCCCCUGGACGAAGACUGACGCUCAGG